GUGGUGUGAUGAGAUCCGAAGACCACAUGGUGAUUGCUGAAGGAAACUUGGAAACCUUAUGUGACUUGGCUAGCAGUGACAUGGGCCUGCCUGUGUCAUAGAAAAAGCCUGCUUCUCCUCCACACCGGCUUAUCAGCCAGUAUUCCGAAGACGAAGUAGAAGCAGAUGUGAUGAAGAUGACAUUCAGGCGAGAGGGAAGAACCACUGUGCGGUGCUGCGAUGACGGAGGACAUGUCUGACAAGGAGCACGUUGAUGUCAUUGCAACAGGAAGCGAAGGCCGCACCUCCACAGCCACAAGUCAGCAUUCACGCAGACUGCCAGUGCAGACAUGAAUCGUGUGCUCGUGUGCGUGCUGACGGCUGCUUUGAGUCUCGGAAACGGUCAGCAAACAGUGCACCAGCCGGCGGGCGAUGUCUACGCUGUGGAGGGCGCAAGGGUGACGCUGGACUGCAGCUACGACAGCACACAGAGCGACGACUGUAUCUUCUGGUACAAACAGCAAGUGAACGCAGCACCCGAGUUUGUUCUGAGCAUCUCAAAGAUCGGUCAGGGCAAGACGGAGAAGAAGUACGCCGACAGGUUUCGCUCCAGCAUGGACGCCAGCGCCACGCAAGCUCCUCUGCAUAUCGAGAGCGUGAAGCUGAGCGACUCGGCACUCUACUACUGUGCCCUGCGGCCCACGCUGACACAUCCGCUGGCGUGCCUGCACAAAAACACCUGCACCCGUCUCGUGCCACGUCACAUUGGGGGUGUGGAGCGAACGGCUUGAUUUUGAAUGGUUGUUAACAAUUUUCUCUUUGGUGUGUUGAAUUUGAAAGAAAUAUUUUGUUUAUAUGUUGCCAAUAAAAGAAAUGAGAUCCA